UUCAUUUUUUUAAAAGAAAAAGCAGGCAGCUGAGCAAUAAGAACCAAGUCCCUACAACAGCUGAGCUUUUAAAUCGUGUUGUAUUUCUGUUUUAAGUUUUAAAGGCUAGCAGAGAGGUUCUGGGAGAAAAAUCACUUGUGUAAGUAGUGCAGGGUCCUAUGUCUGCUAUUUUUAGAGGUAAAGUAAUACAGUGUUAUUCUAUUUAAAUUGGACUGUCUGCAAGACAGAAAUUAUUUGUGAAUUUGUCAGUAAAAACUGCAGGUUACUAGAUAGAUAUGUUUGUUAAUGUUUUAAAUCAUCCAAAUAUUUAUUUUAAUGAUACUAUGCUUAUCUGGGCUCCGGAGAAGCAGCAAAGUGCUGAUUUUCCUUUUGGAGAUGUGUACAUGUGUACAUUUAGGAAGAAAAAUUCAAUAUUCUGCAAAGUUGAAUGCACCAUUGUGCCAGAUAAUUAAAAUGUAAAUUUAAGUAUCUAUGCCUGCUUUGUGAUUUUUUUAAUACUUUUAAGUUAGUUGUCUUUUAAAACAUGUGGUCAGCUGUUGUAUUCACAUAUGGUCAAAUGAUCAAAGUCUGAACUCCUCUCUAAUUGUCCCCUGCUGCUUGUCUGCUCUGUCCAUGAUCAAGGCCUCAGCAGGUGAUAAGAAAGGCAUGAGAACAGGCUGGAAGGAGAAUGAACUACUGAGGGGCCCAAGCUGAAAGAAAUAAAGACUUCCAGUACAUCACCCUGACAGUAAAGAACCAAGAAAAAGUGAAGUCUGGUAACUGAAGUCCAUGUGUCCAAAUGACUGCAGCAGCAAGACUGGACAGAGGGAGUGUGUGUCUGCAUGGACAGGGAGUAUUUUAUCAGGAGGCAGAUGUGAGAGGAUUUAGAGGAUAUUGAAGAAGAAUCCUUGUGGUGGUCAGGCUGCUGUAGAACGGCAAGCAGGUCCCUUUCCUGGCACAAGCUGGCCUUUCUGCGAGCCCAUGGAAAGUUCUUGAGCUGAGAGCUCUCCCUGCCUGCUGCUGAUAGCAGAGCCUAGAUUUGGGUGAGUCACGUGCCUGCAGGUUCUGAGGCUUCCUGGAAGCACCAGCUGCUGCAAGACUUGGGAUGAGACUGCAGGAGUGUGCAGUGCUGCUGGCACAAGGAGGCCUUUUCAUCCAGCAUCCUUUUGGGUCACGUGGUGACUUUGGAGUUGCACCCUUUCUCUUAUGUUUAAGAGUUCCAGUUCAUGGUGAUAUUUAAGAAAUAAAGCUGAACUCAGCCAAAACAGAAGAACUGAAGAAGGCCAGUCAUCAGAGGGGAGGAAUAUAGCCUGACAAGUCUACAGAACACCAUGGAGAAGAGUCUGGCUCUGUCCUUUCCUCCUCCCUUCCAUUUAUAAAAACAGCCUUGACCACAUGGCUCCAACUGUUCCCAUAACUCCCGUUGCUGAUGUUCUAACAUGAUACAGCCAUAAACUGGAUCUUUCUUUUCUUUUCAUGUACUUUUUAAUUAUCUGAAGACUAAACUUUUGAAUACCACUUCUCACGCUGGAUUUGAGGCUAGAAAGCAAGUUUGCUUAUUUAAUAUUUGCUUUGAUUUGGUGAUUAGUCUUUGCUCUUAAUUAUUUUCACCAUUUCCACAUGAGUGAUCAGGAAAUUAACAGCUGUCUCACACUUUCAGCGAGUUAAAAACAGCCUAUGGUAUUUCCUUAUUGACGUUUUACUUGCCCCUGUGCAGAAUGUUUUAAGAUGUUGCUUCUCUUGAGUUUACCACCUCACAGCUUGAGUAAUGUCACAGCUUUUAAAAAAGUUUCCCUUUUGACUUGCCAAGCUGAUGAAGACAAGUAAAGUCAUCCAGCAUAAAAGGUAUAAGUGAACAAAACAUGAAUGGAAGGUGUGGGUCAAGUUACAAUCCAAACAAGGAGAAUAUUAGAAGCAGUUCUGGAGACUGAGGAGACCAGUCCUGUGGCACACAUCUGCCGUGAGAAAUACUGCCAUCCUGGGAUCCUGUGUGGUGUUUACACACUCGUAGCAAAUCCUCUGAAAAAAGUGAAAAUAGAUGGGUUGCUGCUCCUUUUUCCACUGAUGUUUUCCUUUUAUCUUUUCAUUCCUUUUCAGAUGGGUAAUGAUUGUAAAUCGCUGCUUGCCACAGAAAGUGAUGUUUUCCAAGAGCAGUUAUUUGAUUCUUGUAAUAUCAUUUAUUAGUUACAUUCAAUAAGUGCCCAACCUAUGCUCUAAAUGCCUUUUAAAAACACACUAAUAAACAGGUUUUGAUUGCUUUUUG